rnacentral:lncRNA from 1 species
GUGUAGUAGUAACAUGGUUAAGGUUACAUUGCUAGUCAGUGGUAGAACCAGGAUUUCCAUCCAGGUCUGCCUGACUGCAGGCACUGGGUUGGUAUAUGGCUGGGCCUGAGAACUAUCCAGGAGUAAACAGCGUGGACAAAGCUGGCAUGGAAAGAGCUCUGGCUGAGAUACAGAUUCUAAACUGGGCCUCAAAAGGGGUUAAAGGGAAGUAAGGCGAUGUCAGUAGAGCUGAAGCUGGGGUUGAGAGGCUUCCUGAGGAACUGGUGUGGUCAGGGGAGCCUUUCAGAAAGUCCCAGCCCUGCUAGACUGUUAGGGCCCUGAGCUGGGGCAGGGGAGGGUGGUGGAUGCAACAGAACAUCGCCCCGGAUGUAAGACCCAGCCAGACAAAGUGACUCAUCACCCUGAUGUCACCCCACAGCCUCAGCUGCUAAUCAUGGUGAAAUAAAUGUCACUGCAAGUUUAAGGAAGACUAUGCACUAUUACCACUGAGCAUUUACUAUGUUCCAGGCCCUGUGCUAAGCGCAUUGCCUGCUGCGUCUCACCCUUCAGUAGGAGUAGGGUGGUCAGGACAAGAGGAAGCAAGGGAUGCAGCUAUUUGGGGAAGAGUGUUUCCAGCAGAAGGAAGAAGACCUGCCCAGGUGUCGGAUAAGAGCCUGCUUGGUGCAUUCAGGGAUACGAAGGAGGCCAGCGUGGCUGAGAUGAGGUAGGGGCAGCCGGGGUGAGAACAGGUGGGACUUGCCGGCCAUGAAGAGGACCUUGGAUUGCUGUUGAGUGAAAUGGAAAGCCAAAUGUAGGGUCUUGAACAGAAGAGGGACAUGAUGAGCCUUAUGUUUUGAAAUGAUCAUUCUGGACACCAGAUGGAAAAUAGACAGGGGCUGGGGGUGGGGUUGGCAAGGGGAGAAGCUUGGAAGCCAUUUGGUUAUUGCGAAAGUCACACAAAGCUGUGAAAGCAGAGCUGGCCUGGUUGAAGGAAGGGUGGAGGUGGGGGGAGGGCCGGCAUUUCCUCCCACUGAGCCUCUGCCCUUCCCUUUUCCUGCUCUCUGAGGUUCCACCAUGGGACCCCAGGGUACCUAGGAUUACAAUUUGAAAGCUAUUGGACUAGAGGUUCUCUAAGGGCCCUUCCAGCUUUGCCUCCUGUGCUCUUGUGUUUCAGGACCAUGCUGAUUCUGUGGGACCAGGCCCGGGCUCUACCAGCCAGGCCUCUGAACAUGUCAACUUGAGAACUGAAC